rnacentral:rRNA from 1 species
AAUGCGCGUGUGGGAUGAAGGCCUCGGGUUGUAAACCACUUUUGGCAGGAAAGAAAUCGCCUGUGCUAUACCAUGGGCGGAUGACGGUACCUGCAGAAUAAGCACCGGCUAACUACGUGCCAGCAGCCGCGGUAAUACGUAGGGUGCGAGCGUUAAUCGGAAUUACUGGGCGUAAAGCGUGCGCAGGCGGUUUUGUAAGACAGAUGUGAAAUCCCCGGGCUUAACCUGGGAACUGCAUUUGUGACUGCAAGACUAGAGUGUGUCAGAGGGAGGUGGAAUUCCGCGUGUAGCAGUGAAAUGCGUAGAGAUGCGGAAGAACACCGAUGGCGAAGGCAGCCUCCUGGGAUAACACUGACGCUCAGGCACGAAAGCGUGGGGAGCAAACAGGAUUAGAUACCCUGGUAGUCCACGCCCUAAACGAUGUCAACUAGUUGUUGGGGAUUCAUUUCCUUAGUAACGUAGCUAACGCGUGAAGUUGAC